rnacentral:rRNA from 1 species
CCUACGGGAGGCAGCAGUGGGGGAUAUUGCACAAUGGGGGCAACCCUGAUGCAGCGACGCCGCGUGAGCGAUGGAGUACUUCGGUAUGUAAAGCUCUAUCAGCAGGGAAGAAAAUGACGGUACCUGACCAAGAAGCCCCGGCUAACUACGUGCCAGCAGCCGCGGUAAUACGUAGGGGGCAAGCGUUAUCCGGAUUUACUGGGUGUAAAGGGAGCGUAGACGGAAGCGCAAGUCUGGAGUGAAAUGCCGGGGCCCAACCCCGGAACUGCUUUGGAAACUGUGCAGCUGGAGUGCAGGAGAGGUAAGCGGAAUUCCUAGUGUAGCGGUGAAAUGCGUAGAUAUUAGGAGGAACACCAGUGGCGAAGGCGGCUUACUGGACUGUAACUGACGUUGAGGCUCGAAAGCGUGGGGAGCAAACAGGAUUAGAUACCCCAGUAGUG